GAAGUGCGACAAGUGUCAUGACUUGCAGAUUCCCGAGAGCUGACAAAUUUCUGAAUGCAAAUGGCGGCCAUUAACACCGGCCAUGUAUUGCAGAGUGUAGUUGUUCCUACCCAUCAUCCCACUCAACAAGGCUGGCUUGUUGGGCACGGGGAACUGCGCUUGCGAUGCGAAUGCGCGCGCGAGCGUGAAAAAGUGGAGCGUCGCGUCAAUCAGUUCGCUCUGACUUGACGCGACGACUUCGGAAGCCUCAAGACUUCUUGGAGUUAAGCUCCCGAACCAUUCUCGACAGCCACCUCUGCGAUGCAGGAGAACCCGCUGAACUUAA
rnacentral:misc_RNA from 1 species